ensembl:lncRNA
UUCUUACCUAACGCAGGUCUAGAGUGCGUUUUACCUUGUUUGAGGGACCUAUCGUUAUCAUCUCUUGAUCCAGCUACACGACUGUUUCACACACGGCCACAGACCUCCCUGUGGCUAUUUGCGUAACUGAGCUGGGAAGUCUAUAACCUGUCAUCUUUGGGGCCAAGAAAUGAAGAGACUGAAAGAAUACAUUUGUGUGGACUUCCCUGGCCAUCCAGUGGUUAAGACCCUGCACUUCCAAAGCAAGGGGUGCAGGUUCGGUUCCUGGUCGAGGAGCCCAGGUCCAACAUUCCGUGAAGCACAGCCAAAAGAAAAAGAAACACAUUUGCUUGACAGCAGUCUCAUGAGAUCAUCCCUACCGAAGCAAUUAUUUUGGGCAGCACAGCAAUGAUGCGCUGCAGAUAGAAGUACCUCUUCUCAAUUCCUCCCAGACUGGAUGAUGCAUCAGAAAACAGCUUUACAGCAGGCCUAUUCUGCCAACUAGGAUGGAGACUGGAAGGCAUGCCUUUGGAGAGUUUAAAUUUAUGUUUCAACAACCCCAUGUGAAAUAAAGGUCUGGUUGAUUAAUCAGUUUCUUGAGUCAAUGAAGAGAGCCAGUCAAAAGUAUUCUAACUCUGGAAGGGAUUUCUAACCUGAAUAAUCUACCUUAACAGCCCAAUACAUCAAUUAACUGUAUAGUGAUCAUUAUCAAAUUACCAAUUUCACUUAGCUUAUAUGAUUUUAGUGCUAUGUAGACACAAAUUCGAAUUUUGCAUCGAUGUAGGCUCCCUUUCUUCUGUACUUUCUUUAUGACCUGACUUUGUAUG